CCGCACCCCCUCCGGCCCGGGCCGCACGGCCGCCAGCACUUGCCCUCUGGCGGCGGAAGCGCGCAGCGCGUGUCGAGCAGGGAACCUGGACCCGUUCAGCUUCCAUUUCAGCGUGCUGCUGUCUGGGUCUCCUUGGGCACCGCGACGAACAGCGCGAGGACAGGACGCAGCAGACCGUGUGGCGCGUCGGGCAGCGGUUCCCAGUGCAAGUGUCUUUUGCUGCUGACCGACCUCAGACCCGGCCCUCCUGGAGAUCUCCUCUCCCUCGGGAUCCCUGUGGCCUCCUACCCAGUUCCCACGUAGCCUGACCCACCAGGACCAGG
rnacentral:lncRNA from 1 species